rnacentral:scRNA from 1 species
CACAAAAAAAGGGGGCCAAUUAGCCCCCAUAA